AGAGUUUGAUCAUGGCUCAGGACGAACGCUGGCGGCGUGCCUAACACAUGCAAGUCGAACGGGGUCCAUCCAGUGGCAACACUGGUGAAGACCUAGUGGCGAACGGGUGAGUAACACGUGAGGAACCCACCCCGGUCUCAGGAAUAACAGUGGGAAACCACUGCUAAUACCAGAUACCUUCCCCGAACCUCCUGGUUCGGCGAAGAAAGGGUUUACCGGAUCGGGACGGCCUCGCGGCCUAUCAGCUAGUUGGUGGGGUAACGGCCUACCAAGGCGUCGACGGGUAGCUGGUCUGAGAGGAUGAUCAGCCACACUGGGACUGAGACACGGCCCAGACUCCUACGGGAGGCAGCAGUGGGGAAUCUUGCGCAAUGGGCGAAAGCCUGACGCAGCAACGCCGCGUGGGGGAUGAAGGCCCUCGGGUUGUAAACCCCUUUCAGCAGGAACGAAAAUGACGGUACCUGCAGAAGAAGGCCCGGCCAACUACGUGCCAGCAGCCGCGGUAACACGUAGGGGCCAAGCGUUGUCCGGAUUUAUUGGGCGUAAAGAGCUCGUAGGCGGUUGGGUAAGUCGGGUGUGAAAACUCCAGGCUCAACUUGGAGACGCCACCCGAUACUGCUCUGACUAGAGUCCGGUAGGGGAGUGGGGAAUUCCUGGUGUAGCGGUGAAAUGCGCAGAUAUCAGGAGGAACACCAGCGGCGAAGGCGCCACUCUGGGCCGGUACUGACGCUGAGGAGCGAAAGCGUGGGUAGCAAACAGGAUUAGAUACCCUGGUAGUCCACGCCGUAAACGUUGGGCACUAGGUGUGGGCCCUUACCAACGGGGUCCGUGCCGUAGCUAACGCAUUAAGUGCUCCGCCUGGGGAGUACGGCCGCAAGGUUAAACUCAAAGGAAUUGACGGGGCCCGCACAAGCGGCGGAGCAUGUUGCUUAAUUCGAGG
rnacentral:rRNA from 1 species